rnacentral:lncRNA from 1 species
GCCACGCCGGGUGCGGGCGUGUACGUGCGUCCUCGGGCAGCACCCGGGCGCGCGAGGUUAUAGGUCUGUGCUCCCUGCCGCAGUCUGUGGGGAUGGCUAUGUGUGCAGAAAAGGCAGGCUAUAGUGAAGAAAGCGUAUUGUCCGGUUUUUUCAAAAGGAGCGGCUUCAUGUGAAAUUUGUGGGAAGGCUGCUAUUCAGAGUUUAAUGCCAUUAUGUAGUAGCCCCAUGAAAAUCCAGCAGGAAGAAUGUAGAUACUUCUAGAAGAUGCUGAAAACUAUUUGAAAAAUGAAGAAUUCAUAGACAUAAUUUCUCUAAAAUCAUCGAGUUGGAGAUUGAAUAAAUGGAUAAUUGAAUGAAUGGGUGAUUCAAAAUACAUCAUUAA